UACAGGGGUGGCAAGCGUUGUCCGGAAUUACUGGGUGUAAAGGGUGCGUAGGCGGAUCGGUAAGUCAGUGGUCAAAUCCUAUAGCUUAACUAUAGACUAUCCAUUGAUACUGUUGAUCUUGAGUGCGAGAGAGAUGAGUGGAAUUCCAAGUGUAGCGGUGAAAUGCGUAGAGAUUUGGAAGAACACCAGUAGCGAAGGCGGCUCAUUAGCUCGUAACUGACGCUGAGGCACGAAAGCAUGGGUAGCAAACAGG
rnacentral:rRNA from 1 species